rnacentral:rRNA from 1 species
AUUGAACGCUGGCGGCAUGCCUUACACAUGCAAGUCGAACGAGUGGCGGACGGGUAAGGAAUCUGUGGGAACCCGCUCGAUGGGGGUGGCUAACUACUGGAGAAGCUAGCUAAUACCGCAUACGAUGCGGUGUGCACCGAUGGGACUAGCUAGUGGGGGGGGGAACGGCCCACCCAGGCGACGAUCCCUAGCUGGUCUGAGAGGAUGACCAGCCACACUGGAACUGAGACACGGUCCAGACUCCUACGGGAGGCAGCAGUGGGGAAUAUUGCACAAUGGGGGCAAGCCUGAUGCAGCCAUGCCGCGUGUAUGAAGAAGGCCUUCGGGUUGUAAAGUACUUUCAGCGAGGAGGCGUUACUCGCAGAAGAAGCACCGGCUAACUCCGUGCCAGCAGCCGCGGUAAUAC